GCAGAACGACAGUUGAGUGUUUUCUGAAAAUAGGAGAGCGUAAAACUUAAUAUUUUUUAUCCAGGUGAGCGCCCUUUUUUGGCGUUGUGCUAAAACUGCUAAAAAAAAAAAACAAAACAAAACAAAAAACAAAACAAAACAAAACAAAACAAAAAACAAAACAAAACAAAACAAAACAAAACAAUGACAAAAACGUAUGCCCAAAACCACGCUUAUUAGAUUACAGAAAUGACACGAGAGACUCAAAGACAAUCAAACACGGGUUAUUGCAACAUCCUCGGGAACAUCUAAACCAGUAAUCGCGUGAAUUUAUCAUUCGUGCGACAUCUACUCCUCAAAGGAGUUACGCCUCCGACAACAAGUUACGGUAAUUUGUGGUCAUAUCCGUCAUCUUUACACACAACAAUGGAUGCAAGAGAGGGGAGUGACAGGCGAUUGUUUGCCUUUGAUUGAGAUUGUUACGUCUGGAAAAAGAUAAUCUGUUCGUAGAAAUUAGACGCCGCAGGUGAUAGAAUUUUUCAAACUUCUAUUCUAACAAAUAAAAGCGAGAGCAUUUGCACACCUUUCCACUUCGUGCAAUUUUCUAUUUUUCUAAAGUAAACAUUGUUAAUAUCAUAUUAGGAUUUGUUGAUAAUAGCAUUUAGCCAGUGACCUCUGAUAAUCUGUAGCCGGCUGUUCAUUUUUCCGAAACAGAAGAUGAAACCUCCAGUGUGAGAAUGUCACCUAAAAUAUUGCCCAUAAAAAGUAAUAGAUCCGUCCAUCGCAUUUGAGACUGAGCAGUCGAAAUGUGCCGAAACACAUAUGCAGCUACGAUUGUAGCUUCAACAAUGUAGACAUCUUAACAGAUAUAUGUAUUAAAAAAAGUGGUUAAAAUA